rnacentral:rRNA from 1 species
CGGAUUGGCAUGGGCGAAAGCCUGAUCAGCAAUGCCGCGUGUGUGAAGAAGGCCUUCGGGUUGUAAAGCACUUUUGUCCGGAAAGAAAUCCUUUGGGUUAAUACCUCGGGGGGAUGACGGUACCGGAAGAAUAAGCACCGGCUAACUACGUGCCAGCAGCCGCGGUAAUACGUAGGGUGCAAGCGUUAAUCGGAAUUACUGGGCGUAAAGCGUGCGCAGGCGGUUUUGUAAGACGGAUGUGAAAUCCCCGGGCUUAACCUGGGAACUGCAUUCGUGACUGCAAGGCUAGAGUAUGGCAGAGGGGGGUAGAAUUCCACGUGUAGCAGUGAAAUGCGUAGAGAUGUGGAGGAAUACCGAUGGCGAAGGCAGCCCCCUGGGCCAAUACUGACGCUCAUGCACGAAAGCGUGGG